rnacentral:rRNA from 1 species
UAAAUGAACUUAAGUUCAACUUAAAAUAUUUAUAAACAAUUAAAGUAAAAAUAUUAUUUUAAAGUUAAUUAAUAGAGGUUCAGCUCUAUUAAUAAAGGACACAACCUAAAACAAUGAAUAAAGAUUAUAUUAAUUAAAGAAAUUAAUUAUGUGGGCCUAAAAGCAGCAAUCAAAUAAAAAGCGUCAAAGCUUAAUUUAAUAAAUCUUAUUAUAACAAUAAAACAUCUUAAUUCAUUAAAACUAUUAAGUUAAUCUAUAAAAAUAGAUGUAAUUAUUCUAGAAUGAGUAAUAAGAAGAAUAUUCUCUUAGUGCAAGUGUAAAUCAGAACGAAUAUUUCACUGAUAAUUAACGAACCUAUAGAAGGAAUAAUAAUAUUUUUACAAGAAAAACUUAUUUUAUCUAUCGUUUACUCAACACAGAAGCACAUUAGAAGAUUAAAAAUAUAGGAAGGAACUCGGCAAACAUGAACUUCGCCUGUUUACCAAAAACAUCGCCUCUUGCAAUUAAAGUAUAAGAGGUCCUGCCUGCCCAGUGACACUAAGUUUAACGGCCGCGGUAUUAUGACCGUGCAAAGGUAGCGUAAUCACUUGUCUUUUAAAUAAAGACCAGUAUGAAUGGCAAGACGAAAGUUCAACUGUCUCCCUAAAUUAAUCAAUGAAAUUGAUUUUUCCGUGCAGAAGCGGAAAUAUAAUUAUAAGACGAGAAGACCCUAUGGAGCUUUAAACAUAUGAUCAAUUGCAUAACAUAAAAUCCAAAAGAUAAAAUAUUUAAUAAAACAAUAUGAUCAAAAUUUUAGGUUGGGGCGACCACGGAGAAAAACAAAACCUCCGAGAUGAAAAGAAUAUCUUAAUUCAAGAACUACAAUUCUAAAAAAUAAAAUAUUUAACAUAAUUGAUCCAAUACUUUGAUCAACGAACCAAGUUACCCUAGGGAUAACAGCGCAAUCCUCUCCAAGAGUCCCUAUCGACGAGCGGGUUUACGACCUCGAUGUUGGAUCAGGACAUCCCAAUGGUGCAGCCGCUAUUAAAGGUUCGUUUGUUCAACGAUUAAAGU